rnacentral:rRNA from 1 species
UACAGAGGAUACGAGCGUUAAUCGGAAUUACUGGGCGUAAAGCGCGCGUAGACGGUUUUGUAAGUCAGAUGUGAAAUCCCUGGGCUCAACCUAAGAACUGCAUUUGAGACUGCAUGGCUAGAGUAUCGAAGAGAGAAGUGGAAUUUCCGGUGUAGCGGUAAAAUGCGUAGAUAUCGGAAAAAACACCAAUAACAAAAACAACUUCCUAAUCAAAUACUAACAUUCAUGUGCGAAAGCGUGGGGAGCAAACAGG